rnacentral:lncRNA from 1 species
GGCCAACACCAGCAUAGCUCCCCUGCCCCCAGCAAGAUAGUACCUCCCACAUUCAGGGUGUGUCUUCCCUCCUCAUUCAACCUCUCUGCAGACACCUGGACAGAUGUGUAAUGCUGUGUCUCCUAUGUGACAACAGAUUGACUUGUGAAGGAUAAUCAGCACCCCAGUAAAUCAGAAUGCCACUUACCAUGUAACCAGCGUUGAAGAUUGUUGAGAUCAAGGCCUCCUUUCACACCUGAGCUAUGGUUGGAUUUUUUUUUACCUGUCCCAAGUUUCACAUGGCCACGUUUCACAGACCAUUCUGUUUCAAUAGUCACUUCUGUGUCUGAGAGUACAGACGCAUAGGCUGAAACCCAAGAACACAGGGGUGAGUCCCUGUCUGUCUUCACAUUCAUCCUUCACACUUACGGGGAUCUGUGUUCUUGCCUUUGUGUCUUCCCUGGGCUUUUCCUUCUGUCUGGCCCGUUCUGUCCUGGCUCAUAGAGGAACUUUAAUUUAAAUUUUGUUAUAUUCAUCACAUCCAACCAAGCCAUUAUUCCGGGCUAUCCUCAAACUUGUGAGUAUAAGUAAGAAUCUUCUGUCUUUUUUAAGCCAAAUUUGUGUUUUAAUUUCUUUUCCAUCUUUUAUUUUCUGUGUAUGUGUGUUUGCCCCCAAUGUGCAUCAUGCCUGUGGAAGUCAAAAAAGACAUCAAAUGACCUGGAACUGGAGUUAAUGAAUGCUUGUAAACUACCCUGUGGGUGCUGGAAACCAACCAACGUCCUCCACCAGAGUAAGGAGUACCCCUGACCCAUCUAUCUGACACUCUUCUGUAAUUUUUACAUUAGCCCGUGGGCUCACUCACCAAACCAUUUCCCGUUUUCUCUCUCAUGGUUAUCUUCUUGAGGUUUUUUUCUUGUUCCUAGGCAUUUUGGAGGCAUUCAGUUCAUGUUUAUAGGAAGGAAGUAAAUUGGAUUCCUAAGAAAACUAGGGGAGCUUGGUUUUGCAGAAUAUCUAAAAUAAAAUGGAUAUGAGAGUGUUCAACCUAUAAGCAUUCUUUUCUGAUGACUCUAGAUAGACUUUUUUAAUGUAAAGAUUAUAAUAAUUCCACAUGUUGAAGUAACUCUACUCAGGGAUUACAUGCCUUUUAGUGGCUCUCCUGGGCUAUUUACAGACUUUAGGUUUUGGGUUUUUUGUUUUGUUUUUUGUUUUUUGGUUUUUUUUGUUUUGUUUUUUUGUUUUGUUUUGUUUGUUUUGCCUAUCAUUCAUAUGCAUUUGUCUUUCUUGGUGUCUGAAUUACUUGGUUUAAAUACUGGGGCCAUGUCUUAGUUCUAGCCUCUGCCCAAUGGGACACUGGGCAGUAUGACUUAAGACUGUGUUCCUAGAAUCUUAAUGAUGCCAAGCAUCCUACACUUCAGCAACAGUUGAUUAAGACAAAUACAACUCUUUAUCAAUAUAAAAUAUAGUUCAGUGGCAUUGCAGCAUACGAGAUCCCAGUGAUCAUCAGAGGGAGCCUCGACAGGUUCUGCAUUCAUGAUGUCACUAGCAGAGAAUAAGCAUUAACCUUUGGCCCCUUUGGCAGGUCUGUAUUGAUCAGUCAGUGCUACAUGUCAUGGGGAGGCCAUGCUUGUUGUCACUGUCCCUGUCAGGUUCUGGAGCUACCAGAGCAAAGACUUUGGAAAAUAAUUAACUUGAGUAUUUCUUAGUUUUUAAUGAACUGGGACAUGAAUGGAGAUGCAUUUAAAAGACAAGUGAGUAUAUGGUUUAUUUUGAAAAAAUGCUUCAAUAUUUUUGAUUCUUACAUUUCAGAAUAUUUUCUCCAUCCAAUAUGUAUCUCAUUGUAGAAAUAAAAUUUCUUUUGUUGAUGUUUAAUAUAUGAAAUUUUGAUUUUAUACAAAUAUAACAGUUAAGGAAGUCCAUAGCUUUAAAACUAUCUCACUUCAGGAUGCAUCACCAGAAACUACUUUUCAAUAUAGUUAUUACAUGUUGGUGUACUAGAUCAGGAAUCAGUAUACAUGACCCAUGGCCAAGUUCAUUCUGCUACCCAAAUUACAAAUGUCUUUAACACUUUAAAGUGGCUGGAAAUAAAAUUUCAUGAUGUGAAAAUUAUGUGGAAUUCAAGCUUCGUGCUCAUAAAUAUAUUUAUGGGGACAGACCUAGUGCUGUUUAUGUUGGUCUUGCCUUUGACCACUUCCCUACCCCAAGGCAGAGAUAAGGAAUUCUAAGAGGCCUAAGAGGUCUUGCAUCCUGUAGAACCUUCUGUAUUGAUUUCCUACCCCUUUGUAGAAAAGCGGGUUCAACCAUAGACUU